CAGGGACUGGGUGCCGGUGGGGUCCGCUGCGAAUACUGGGGGUGGGCAGUUGGGACUCAGGGCCCCAGGCCCUCGGGGCUGCGGGGCCGCCUCUUCCAAACGCGCCUUAAGCGGUUUUGCAGUGGCUUUCCGCCGGAGGGCUGGGAGGCGCCCCGGCCCUGAGUCAGUCACCCUUUGGCCGGACAGGCGGUUCCCGGGCGCGGAGGAUGGAAACCUGGCGGUAACCUCUGCAGGUCGUGCCACUCGGUGUGCGCAAGGUCUCCAGAGGCAUCUUUUCAUUUUUAGGGGGCACUUUCCACGAAUUCAUUUGAGCUACACAGCAGUCCUGGGCAGUGGGGAGUGGUGAGCUCCAUUGUGUACACUUGGAAGCAGCCCAGAAAGGUGAAGACCUGUUCGUGAACUCCAGAGGCCAUUGGAAGCAUGGAAGGCUAUGGCUGGCACUCUUCCUCUUUUUCCAGUUCACUGAGGCAGAUGGGAGGCCCGGAGGAGAAAGAAUGAAGGAAGGCAUUUCAGCCCGAGUAAACUCCCCAGGCCCGCUCUGUGCCAGGCAGUGUUGCAAGCCUCGGGUAGGGUGCUUCUAGCACGGUGCUUUGUGCACAGUAAACACUCCAGCGGCUGUUGACCAAUGAAUGAAUGAAGAUUGUAGGCUCAAAUAUUCAAGUUAUCAAAGUGCAAAGAAUGAGAGGUUGUUUGCACUGGACUUCAAAAAUAAAUAGCCUGGACCUGUACUGUCUUACACAACAGCUAUGAGCUACUGGUGGCUACUAGAAAAUUUAAAAUUACAGAUUUGUCUUGUAUUACAUCUCUAGAAGCUCCAACCAACAGGGGGACAGUGAAGUAUGAAGAGGAAAGCCAAUGUGAAAAAUGCCUCUCCCCGAUUCUGUCUGACUCUGUUAAAGAGGGCUUUGCUUUAGAAGCUUAACCAUUCUGAUUAUUUUGGGGGUGUGAGGUAAUCUGGAAAGUAAAAUUUACCUAAAAAUUAA
ensembl:lncRNA DHCR24-DT DHCR24 divergent transcript